AAAAGCUAUUAAGGGCACACGGAGGAUGCCUAGGCAACAAAAGCCGAUGAAGGACGUGAUAAGCUGCGAAAAGCUUGGUGGAGGUGCACAUAACCUUUGAUGCCAAGAUGUCCGAAUGGGAAAACCUAUAUGUGUAAAUCACAUAUACGAAAGAGGUAAGUCCGUGAACUGAAACAUCUAAGUAACGGGAGGAAAAGAAAGUAAAAACGAUUCUCUAAGUAGCGGCGAGCGAACGGAGAACAGCCUAAACCAUAUACAUGUAAGUUGGCGACGUUGUGUAUAUGGGGUAGAGGGACUUUAAUAGACUAAUAGCCAUAAAGUCAUUUUACUAGUAGAGUAAGUGGAACACAGCUGGGAAGCUGGACCAAAGAAGGUGAUAGUCCUGUAGAACAUAAAACUAUUAGUAAAACUUAAAGCACCCGAGUAGCAUCAAGCACGAGGAAUUUGGUGUGAAUCUGCGUGGACCAUAUCACGUAAGGCUAAAUACUUUUGUUGACCGAUAGAGAAGAGUACCGUGAGGGAAAGGUGAAAAGAACCCUGAGUAAGGGAGUGAAAUAGAAUUUGAAACCGUGUGCUUACAAACGGUAGGAGCUCGCAAGAGUGACUGCGUGGAUUUUGGUUAAUCAUCCUGCGAGUUAUGAUAUAUGGCAAGGUUAAAAAGAAUGGAGCCGAAGGGAAACCGAGUCUUAAUAGGGCGACAAGUCGUAUGUCAUAGACGCGAAACCUAGUGAUCUAGGCCUGUCCAGGUUGAAGCUAAGGUAAGACUUAGUGGAGGACCGAACUCACCGCCGUUGAAAAGUUGGGAGAUGAGAUAGGUCUAGGGGUGAAAAGCCAAUCGAACUAGGAGAUAGCUCGUUCUCUCCGAAAUGCAUUUAGGUGCAGCCUUAAUUUUAAGAUAUGUGGGGGUAGAGCACUGUAUGAUCUAGGGGGCGUAUUGCUUACCGAAAUCAAGCAAACUACGAAUACCAUAUAUUAAUGAUUAGGAGUGAGUCUAUGGAUGAUAAGGUCCGUGGACAAAAGGGGAACAGCCCAGACCACCAGCUAAGGUCCCUAAUUAUGUCUAAGUGGGAAAGGAGGUGGAUAUUCACAGACAACCAGGAGGUUGGCUUAGAAGCAGCCAUACCUUAAAAGAGUGCGUAAUAGCUCACUGGUCGAGAGUAUCUGCGCCGAAGAUGUAACGGGGCUAAGACAUAAACCGAAGCUGUGGAAGAUGCUUUCGCAUCUUGGUAGGAGAGCGUUCUGUAAGCCGAUGAAGGCAGGCUGUAAGGCCUGCUGGAGGUAUCAGAAGUGAGAAUGCAGGAAUGAGUAGCGAGAAGGCGGGUGAGAAUCCCGCCGGCCGGAAGUCCAAGGUUUCCAGGGGAAGGUUUGUCCGCCCUGGGGAAGUCGGGACCUAAGCCGAGGCUAAGUAGCGCAGGCGAAUGGAAAAUAGGUUAAUAUUCCUAUACCACUUAAUUAACGUUUUUACUGAUGGAGUGACGCAGGAAGGUAUGUGAGAAGGCUGACGGUUUAGCCUUUCUAAGGAAAUAGCGUGGGCAUAUAGGCAAAUCCGUAUGCUUAAACGUGAGAACUGAUGGGUAAGCACCUCUUGGUGUAAGUCACAAAUCCUACACUGCCAAGAAAAACUUCUAAGGAGGAGAUUAAGUGCCCGUACUGUAAACCGACACAGGUGGACAGAGUGAGAAACUUAAGGCCGACAGGAUAACUCUAGCUAAGGAACUCUGCAAAAUAGCCCCGUAACUUCGGGAGAAGGGGUGCCUAUAUUACUUGAGAAGAGAAACACUUCAAGGGGAAAUAGGUCGCAGUGAAGAGUCUCAAGCAACUGUUUACCAAAAACACAGGUCUAUGCUAAGCUGAAAGGCGACGUAUAUGGGCUGACACCUGCCCAGUGCCGGAAGGUUAAGAGGAGGAUUGAGAGAUCCGAAUUGAAGCCCCGGUGAACGGCGGCCGUAACUAUAACGGUCCUAAGGUAGCGAAAUUCCUUGUCGGGUAA
rnacentral:rRNA from 1 species